rnacentral:rRNA from 1 species
UACGGGGGGAGCAAGCGUUGUUCGGAUUUACUGGGCGUAAAGGGCGCGUAGGCGGCCACCGCAAGUCAAUUGUGAAAUCUCCGGGCUUAACUCGGAAAGGUCAACUGAUACUGCGGGGCUAGAGUGCGGAAGGGGCAACUGGAAUUCUCGGUGUAGCGGUGAAAUGCGUAGAUAUCAAGAGGAACACCUGAGGCGAAGGCGGGUUGCUAGGCUGAUACUGACGCUGAGGCGCGAAAGCUAGGGUAGCAAACGGG